UCGGAUUGUAGGCUGCAACUCGCCUACAUGAAGCUGGAAUUGCUAGUAAUCACAGGUCAGCAUACUGUGGUGAAUACGUUCCCGGGCCUUGUACACACCGCCCGUCACACCAUGAGAGUUGAGAAUACCCGAAGUCCAUGUCAAAGUGGCCGAAGGUAGGCUUGAUGAUUGGGGUGAAGUCGUAACAAGGUAGC
rnacentral:rRNA from 1 species